UGGACGAAGUCUGACGGAGCACGCCGCGUGAGUGAUGAAGGUUUUCGGAUCGUAAAACUCUGUUGUUAGGGAAGAACAAGUACCGUUCGAAUAGGGCGGUACCUUGACGGUACCUAACCAGAAAGCCACGGCUAACUACGUGCCAGCAGCCGCGGUAAUACGUAGGUGGCAAGCGUUGUCCGGAAUUAUUGGGCGUAAAGCGCGCGCAGGUGGUUUCUUAAGUCUGAUGUGAAAGCCCACGGCUCAACCGUGGAGGGUCAUUGGAAACUGGGGAACUUGAGUGCAGAAAAGGAAAGUGGAAUUCCAAGUGUAGCGGUGAAAUGCGUAAAUAUUUGGAGGAACACCAGUGGCGAAGGCGACUUUCUGGUCUGUAACUGACACUGAGGCGCGAAAGCGUGGGGAGCAAACAGGAUUAAAUACCCUGGUAGUCCACGCCGUAAACGAUGAGUGCUAAGUGUUAGGGGGUUUCCGCCCCUUAGUGCUGCAGCUAACGCAUUAAGCACUCCGCCUGGGGAGUACGGUCGCAAGACUGAAACUCAAAGGAAUUGACGGGGGCCCGCACAAGCGGUGGAGCAUGUGGUUUAAUUCGAAGCAACGCGAAGAACCUUACCAGGUCUUGACAUCCUCUGACAACCCUAGAGAUAGGGCUUUCCCCUUCGGGGGACAGAGUGACAGGUGGUGCAUGGUUGUCGUCAGCUCGUGUCGUGAGAUGUUGGGUUAAGUCCCGCAACGAGCGCAACCCUUGAUCUUAGUUGCCAGCAUUCAGUUGGGCACUCUAAGAUGACUGCCGGUGACAAACCGGAGGAAGGUGGGGAUGACGUCAAA
rnacentral:rRNA from 1 species